GCCAGGUGCAGUGGUGCAUGCCUGUAAUCACAACAGCUGGGGAGGCUGAGGCAGGAGGAUCAUGAGUUCAAAGCCAGCCUCAGCAAAAACCAGGUGCUUAAGCAACUCAGUGAGAUCCUGUCUCUA
rnacentral:sRNA from 1 species